GAUGAACGCUGGCGGCGUGCCUAAUACAUGCAAGUCGAGCGGUAAGGCCUCUUCGGAGGUACACGAGCGGCGGACGGCUGAGUAACACGUGGGAAUGUACCCUUUGGUUCGGAAUAACGUUUGGAAACGAACGCUAAUACCGGAUGAGCCCUACGGGGGAAAGAUUUAUCGCCAAAGGAGCAGCCCGCGUCUGAUUAGCUAGUUGGUGGGGUAAAGGCCUACCAAGGCGACGAUCAGUAGCUGGUCUGAGAGGAUGAUCAGCCACACUGGGACUGAGACACGGCCCAGACUCCUACGGGAGGCAGCAGUGGGGAAUAUUGGACAAUGGGCGCAAGCCUGAUCCAGCCAUGCCGCGUGAGUGAUGAAGGCCUUCGGGUUGUAAAGCUCUUUCGCACACGACGAUGAUGACGGUAGUGCGAGAAGAAGCCCCGGCUAACUUCGUGCCAGCCGCCGCAGUAA
rnacentral:rRNA from 1 species